UACGGAGGAUCCAAGCGUUAUCCGGAAUCAUUGGGUUUAAAGGGUCCGUCGGCGGUUUAGUAAGUCAGUGGUGAAAGCCCAUCGCUCAACGGUGGAACGGCCAUUGAUACUGCUAGACUUGAAUUAUUAGGAAGUAACUAGAAUAUGUAGUGUAGCGGUGAAAUGCUUAGAGAUUACAUGGAAUACCAAUUGCGAAGGCAGGUUACUACUAAUGGAUUGACGCUGAUGGACGAAAGCGUGGGUAGCGAACAGG
rnacentral:rRNA from 1 species